rnacentral:rRNA from 1 species
CACGUAGGGCGCAAGCGUUGUCCGGAAUUAUUGGGCGUAAAGAGCUCGUAGGCGGUCUGUCGCGUCGGAUGUGAAAACCCAGGGCUCAACCCUGGGCCUGCAUUCGAUACGGGCAGACUAGAGUACGGCAGGGGAGACUGGAAUUCCUGGUGUAGCGGUGAAAUGCGCAGAUAUCAGGAGGAACACCGGUGGCGAAGGCGGGUCUCUGGGCCGAAACUGACGCUGAGGAGCGAAAGCGUGGGGAGCGAACAGG